UACGUAGGGUGCGAGCGUUAAUCGGAAUUACUGGGCGUAAAGCGUGCGCAGGCGGCGCCGCAAGUCGAGUGUGAAAUCCCCGAGCUUAACUUGGGAAUUGCGCUUGUGACUGGCGUGCUGGAGUGUGGCAGAGGGAGGUGGAAUUCCACGUGUAGCAGUGAAAUGCGUAGAGAUGUGGAGGAACACCGAUGGCGAAGGCAGCCUCCUGGGCCAGCACUGACGCUCAUGCACGAAAGCGUGGGGAGCAAACAGG
rnacentral:rRNA from 1 species